rfam:Myotis lucifugus cont2.23916, whole genome shotgun sequence.
GGUCGGUAGCUCAGUGGUUAGAGCAUUGGCCUGGAAACCCAAGGGUUGCAUGUUCAAUCCCUGGCCCUGGUCG